UGGUUCUGGCAUCGAUGAAGAACGCAGCGAAAUGCGAUAAGUAGUGUGAAUUGCAGAAUUCCGUGAAUCAUCGAAUUUUUGAACGCACAUUGCGCCCAUUGGUAUUCCAAUGGGCAUGCCUGUUCGAGCGUCAUUUAAAUCUUCAAGCUUUGCUUGGUGUUGGGUGCUUUGUCUCAGUAUUAUAUUCUGCAGACUCACCUGGAAUGCAUUGGCGGCCAGCAAUUGGGCAUUAGAAGCGCAGCACAUUUUGCGAUUCUUAGCCGUAAUAGCUAGCGUCCAUGAAGCUUAUUUUAACGUUUGACCUCGGAUCAGGUAGGGAUACCCGCUGA
rnacentral:misc_RNA from 1 species